rnacentral:rRNA from 1 species
GAUGAACGCUGGCGGCGUGCCUAAUACAUGCAAGUCGAGCGAACAGACGAGGAGCUUGCUCCUCUGACGUUAGCGGCGGACGGGUGAGUAACACGUGGAUAACCUACCUAUAAGACUGGGAUAACUUCGGGAAACCGGAGCUAAUACCGGAUAAUAUAUUGAACCGCAUGGUUCAAUAGUGAAAGACGGUUUUGCUGUCACUUAUAGAUGGAUCCGCGCCGCAUUAGCUAGUUGGUAAGGUAACGGCUUACCAAGGCAACGAUGUGUAGCCGACCUGAGAGGGUGAUCGGCCACACUGGAACUGAGACACGGUCCAGACUCCUACGGGAGGCAGCAGUAGGGAAUCUUCCGCAAUGGGCGAAAGCCUGACGGAGCAACGCCGGGUGGGUGAUGAAGGGCUUCGGAUCGUAAAACGCUGUUAUUAGGGAAGAAAAAAUGUGUAAGUAACUAUGCACGUUUGGACGGUACCUAAUCAGAAAGCCACGGCUAACUACGU